rnacentral:rRNA from 1 species
GUCUGGUGCCAGCAGCCGCGGUAAUUCCAGCUCCAAUAGCGUAUAUUAAACUUGUUGCAGUUAAAAAGCUCGUAGUUGAAUUUCUGCGUCACCGUAUUUUGACUUUUGUCGACUGUCGGUUUCGCUUUUGGGAUUUAUCCCUUUUUACUUUGAGAAAAUUAGAGUGUUUCAAGCAGACAUUUGUCUUGAAUAC